rnacentral:rRNA from 1 species
UACGUAGGGACCAAGCGUUGUUCGGAUUUACUGGGCGUAAAGGGCGCGUAGGCGGCAUGUUAAGUCAGAUGUGAAAUCCCCGGGCUUAACCUGGGAACUGCGUUUGAAACUACAAGGCUAGAGUGUGGCAGAGGGGGGUGGAAUUCCACGUGUAGCAGUGAAAUGCGUAGAGAUGUGGAGGAACACCGAUGGCGAAGGCAGCCCCCUGGGUUAACACUGACGCUCAGGCACGAAAGCGUGGGGAGCAAACAGG